GGAUGGGUGGGGGGGAGGGGAGAGGUAAGGGGAGAGAACUGGUGAAUCUGCCACAGGUGAUAAGUGAAACAUGGUCUGAUACCUGUCAGCUUGAGGCAGUGGGGAAAGUACAGGCUGGAUCUUGCUUAUUUUAGGUGUUCCCUCAUAAUUUUUUUCUUGCAUUGUGAGAACUGUCUUGAGGUGUAAGAAAGCAGAAACCUGCGUGGCUGCCUUCUGGAACACUGCCUUGGUUCUGAGUCUGAUCGCUGCAGUGUGGCUUUGGGUAGGCUGUGUUUUCCAUUUUAUUUCGAAUAUCCUUCCUAAUGAUGCCCUGUGGGCUUUGUUGCCUAUUUAGAUCACAUUAGUAAAUUGGAGGUGUUUUCAAGGAACUGUCUGCUCUGAUUCCUGGAUCCAUUUCCUGUGUCUUGAGAUUGCCCUGCUCUGUUGAUGCUGCUUUCUGUGAGCACAGCCAGUGAGACCAGCCUGAAAGACUACUGUACCUUUCCCCCAAUGCUUUAUUAAAAUGUACUAUCUUAUUAAUAUUUAUGAAAUUUUAAACAGGUAAUUAACAUUUAUUGUAGAAACCAAGCAUGCUGUGUUCGGUACAUAGACGUAACCCACCAAUUUAAACAUUUUGAGGCAAAACCUUCCAGAAUUUCAUCCACGUACAGCAUUGUUCAUAAGAAAAUAUAAUUGUUGUGAGUUUCUCUGGAUUCAUUUGGACUCCCAAAAUUCAUAUGUCAAAGCCCUGACCCCCAAUGUGAUGAAUCUGGAGAUGAGGGUCUUUAGGAAAUAUUAAGUUAAAUGAAGUCAUAAAGGUGAGGGCUUAAUUUGAUAAGGCUGUGGCCUUAUGGGAGGAGUAAGAGAGCCCUAACUCCCUCACUGUGUGAGCACAUAGCAGGAAGGCAGCUUGUCUGCUGCAAGACAAGAGUCUUUACCAGGCACUGACCUUGCUGGCACCCUAACCUAGGACUUUAGCCUCCAGAACUGUGAGAAAAUAAAUUUCUGUUGUGUAAGCCAUCUGGUCUAUGGUAUUUUGUUAUGGCAGUCCAAGCUAAUACAUACAUAUAAUAAGCAUGUUAUUUUGUUAUGUAGUCUAUAACUAGCUUUAAAUAGUCUCCACAGUAUAUUACACAUAUCUUUACAUGUUAAUAAGUAUACAUUUAUGUCUCAAUCUUAUUGGCGGCAUUUCAUUGUAUGGAUGUGUCUGAGUUCAUUUCAGGCUGCCAUCACAAAAUGCCAUAGACUGGGUGUCUUGUAAAUAAUAAAUAUUUAUGUCUCCCAGUUUUGGAGGCUGAGAAGUCCAAGAUUCAGGCACCUGCAGAUUCAGUAUCUGGUGAGGGCCCGCUUCCUGGCUCCUUGAGGGCAGUCUUCUCGAUGUAACCUCAUACGGAAGAGGGGCAGUGGAUCUCUGUGGGGUCUCUUUUAUAAGAGCACUAUAGUCUCUUCCUGGUUAAAGGGGGCUUCAUGAGUGCUCUACCCUCAUAACCUAAUAAUCCCAUCCUAAAGGCCUCACCGCCACCUUCCAUCCCAUUGGGAAUUAGGCCUCUGCAUACGCAUUUUGAGAGGACACACACAUUCACAUUGCAGGAUGUGACAUUUUGUUUAACCUAUACCCACUGUUUCACUGUUCUAUUUUUGUGCCAACAAUAAAUGCUGUGAUAAACAUCCUUGCAUAUAUGCUUUAGACAUUUGUCAAAUUGUCUUCUUAGCACAGAUUUCUAGACCUGGAAGAGUUAGGCAAAAGCGUAUUUGCUUUUUUUUUUUUUUAGUAUGAAAUUUAUUGUCAAAUUGGUUUCCAUACAACACCCAGUGCUCAUCCCAACAGGUGCCCUCCUCAAUGCCCAUCACCAACCCUCCCCUCCUUCCCACCCCCAUCAACCCUCAGUUUAUUCUCAGUUUUUAAGAGUCUCUUAUGGUUUGCCUCCCUCCCUAAGUUUUUUUUACCCCCUUCCCCUCCCCCAUGGUCUUCUGUUAAGUUUCUCAGGAUCCACAUAAGAGUAAAAACAUAUGGUAUCUGUCUUUCUCUGCAUGACUUAUUUCACUUAGCAUAACACUCUCCGGUUCCAUCCACGUUGCUACAAAAGGCCAGAUUUCGUUCUUUCCAAUUGCCAAAUAGUAUUCCAUUGUAUAUAUAAACCACAACUUCUUUAUCCAUUCAUCAGUUGAUGGACAUUUAGGCUCUUUCCAUAAUUUGGCUAUUGUUGAAAGUGCUGCUAUAAACAUUGGGGUACAAGUGGCCCUAUGCAUCAACAUUCCUGUAUCCCUUGGGUAAAUUCCUAGCAGUGCUAUUGCUGGGUCAUAGGAUAGAUCUAUUUUUAAUUUUUUGAGGAACCUCCAUACUGUUUUCCAGAGUGGCUCCACCAGUUUGCAUUCCCACCAACAGUGCAGGAGGGUUCCCGUUUUCUCUACAUCCUCUCCAGCAUCUAUAGUCUCCUGAUUUGUUCAUUUUAGCCACUCUGACUGGCGUGAGGUGGUAUCUGAGUGUGGUUUUGAUUUGUAUUUUCCUGAUGAGGAGUGACAUUGAGCAUCUUUCCAUGUGCCUGUUGGCCGUCUGGAUGUCUUCUUUAGAGAAGUGUCUAUUCAUGUCUUCUGCCCAUUUCUUCACUGGAUUAUUUGUUUUUUGGGUGUGGAGUUUGGUGAGUUCUUUAUAGAUUUUGGAUACUAGCCCUUUGUCCGAUAGUCAUUUGCAAAUAUCUUUUCCCAUUCCCUCGGUUGCUUUUUAGUUUUGUUGAUUGUUUCCUUUGCAGUGCAGAAGCUUUUGCUUUUUAAAGGAUUUUGAUACAUAGUUAGCCAGAUUGCCCUCCAGAAAGAUUCUUUUGAGAUUUUUAAAAGUUGAAGACAAGAACAUUUGUUUUCUCUCCUUGUGACUUCAAGCAGUCUGACUUCCUUAUUGCUCUUUAUUUCUUAAGCUAUUGACAGAGUUAUUUAUGAACAGAAUAACCGCCUUAGAUUGCUGUAGGUAGACUUAGGUCAAUAACAUGGUUGUAUGGGGAUUCAAAUUAGCACUCAUUUUGCCUCAACUGUUGGAGGCAUGACCACAGGCAUUCUCAGAUAUCCCAGGGGAAUUCUGAACCGUUCUGUUGUAGGGGCUGGCAUGUGUCUGUUCCAGGAGGUCUUCACCCUUUUAGAGCUGGUAGCUGUUUCUUAGAUAUUAAAGAGGAAAUCAGCAGAAAUACUGAGUAGAAACAGAUGAGGAAAGCUGUUGUUGCUUCGCUCAAGUCUCACUUUUUAGAUAUUCCAAGUAGCUGAUUUAUGUUUCUCUCACAGAUUUAGUGAGAAGCAACAAUUCUCUUGCUUUGUAAAAGUAGCAUUGUCUUUCAUACUUAGAAUAUAUAAUUAUUAGAGGAAACUUAAGAGACUACAGAGAAGAAUAAAGAGGAAAAUAAAAAUCACCCAUAAUCCCAUAGCCGAGAGAUAAUUACUGCUGAACAUGUAGUGUGUUUUCUAAUAUUUUUCUCUGCUUAUGCAAAUAUAAAAAUAGCAUAUUUCAUAAAUCAUUUCUUAUGGCUUUCUGUUAAAGAAAGGUUUUAUUUUUAAGUAAUCUCUACACCCAAGGUGGGGCUCAAACUCAGCCCCAAGAUCCAGAGUUGCAUGUUCCACCAAUGGAUCCAGCCAGGUGCCAUUCCUGACGCCUUUUUAAAAUUUUCUUAUGGCCCAUAAUGUUCCACUAAAAUGCUAGUAUGUGCAUAGUAUUCUACUGCCAUGUAUAUUCUAGAAUUUAUUUGAAUGCUUCUCUGUUAUUAGGCAUUUAGGUUAUUAUACAUUAAAAUUAUAGAGGACAUCUUCACCCAAAUAUCUUUCUACGGAUCUUGAAUAUUUUCAUAGGCUAGAUAGUUCAUGAACAUGAACUUACUAAGGCAAGAAUGAAUUUUUAAAAGUCCCUUUAAGGCAUAUUCUUUUAUUGCUUGAUGAUUGAUUCCAUUUACAUUCCAAGAGCAGUGAAUAUUAGUCAUUUCAUAAAAAUGCCAGCAUCAUUUUUGCCAAUUUGCGAGACAAAGGAUAAUUUUCUUUCUUCUCUUUUUUUUUUCCACAUUAAUUCAUUUUUGAGAGACUGAGAGAAAGAGUGUGAGUGGGGGAGGGGCAGAGAGAGAGAGGGAGACACAGAAUCCGAAGCAGGCUCCAGGCUCUGAGCUGUCAGCACAGAGCUCAAUGUGGGGCUCAAACUCACGAAUCACGAGAUCAUGACCUGAGCUGAAAUCGGAUGCUUAACCACCUGAGCCACCCGGGCACCCCGAAGAGAUAAUUUUCAAGCUCCAAAUCCUUUGUCAUAUUUAUUUAAUUUUAUUUUUUUGAAUGUUUAUUUAUUUUGAGAGAGAGAGAGAGAGAGAGCACGAGUAGGGGAGGGACAGAGAGAGAGAGGCAGAGAGAAUCCCAAGGAGGCUCUGCUUUGACAACACAGAGCCCCACAUGGGGCUCGAUCUCAUGAAAGGUGAGAUCAUGACCUAAACCAAAAUCAAGAGUUGGACACUUACUGACUGAGUCACCCAGGUGGCCUUUUCAUAUUUAUUUCAAAUAUUUUUCCAUUUUGUCAUUUGCCUUUUGAUUACUUUCUUUAUAUACUUGUUUUACUAACAAAAGUUUAAAUGUAUGUAAUAAGCAUAAUCAUCUUUCCUCUAUGAUUUUUCCCAUUGCUUUUAUGCUUAGAAAUUCUUCCCUAGAUCAGAUAUUCCCACUAUUUUCUUUUGGAAUUAUUUGUUUGUUUACUAUUUGACUUUUUCAUCCAAAGGUCCUGUCACCUGUUUUUGUAAAUAAAGUUUUAUUGGCAUAGCCAUACUUAUUUGUUCAUAAUGCUGUCACACUGGCAUGGUUGAAUAGUUGUGACAGAAACCUGUAAUAUUUAGUAGCUGGUCGUUUACAGUUUGCCAACUCCUGCUUUGUUGCUUCACAGUUUAUUUGGAUAUAUAAUUUAGUUGAGGCCCUAAUUUGAUUCCCUCCUUGUCCCCAACACUCAUUUCCCCCAAUCUUGUUUGUUGAAUUCAUUCAUUCCUUACUCACUGACUUGUGAUACUGCCUUUAUUAUAUUUUAUGUUCUUCUAUAUACUAGCCUUUAUUUUGGUACCACUCUGUGUCCAUUACAGAGGCAAAAUUCUUCUCCAGCUGUCAGUUCAAUUGCAAUUUAGUAAAAAUAAAACAAAUUUAGGGAGAGAAACAUAAACUACAUUUUUAAGAUAGAAUAUGUAGACUGUCCUCCAUAAGUUGCUGAAUGAGAGUCUUAUAAAGCAUAUAUUGGUAAAGAUUCAGAGUUAAGGGUUAAGGUUUGAGUGUAGAGUUAAGUAUAUUUGUAAAUUUGUUUCCUUGUGAAAUAGCCUGUUCAUAAACCAGAUCAAGCUUGUCUUUGUAAGGACUCUCUGGUGCAUUCUGAUGAAGGAAAAAUUCCAGUCUGGCAGCUGCAUCCUCAAGUAACCUUGAUUUGAAUCUACAUAUUUUCUAUAUCCGCUCUUUGCUAACAAAAGGAGUCCCAGCAAAAUAUAAGCAGGGGUACUCCUAGAGUUUCCAAACCCAGUGUAUUCAUGUCUACGGGAAAUACAUCUGUAUCUUAAUAGAUGGAGAGUAAAUUCUAGCCUUUCUGUUACAUGAGGCUAGUUUUCCUUCUUACCCUCAUUUUACAUGUGUGUAAGGUUUGGAUAUGUGUAUGUUUGUGUGUGAUGUAUGUGUGGCUGUGUAUUUGUGUUUGUGUGUGUGUUUUAUUUUAUCUCAGUCCUGGAAUGUUGGAUAAAGGAGUACUUUACAUUUUCUCCAAUGUCAGUGAACAAUCAGAGGCUUUAUCUUAGGAUGCAUUUCAAUAAACAUCUGUUUCUCUGCCAAGGAAAAACCGUGUCCUGGGGACUGAGGUAGAUGUGACCUGUAAACUCAAGCAGAGCGACUACAUGGAGCUGGUUGCCCGCUGGUAGGCUUUCUCUUCUCCCUCAAGUUCGUUCUGUCUUUACAGAGUCUCUGUGAUGAGAGUGUGUUUAUGGAAUCCUAAGAUGUGCACUUGGUGGCAGUCCUAUAUACCGCAUAAAUUUACCCUUAUGCACUUUUGGAAUUCCUUGUAUGUUUUCUAGAUUGAUGACAUAGGCAACAGCUAUAUCAAAGAAUCAGUCUUACAAAGUACUCUUAUUUCUCUCUGCUUUCUUUAUUGUUGAAGAGCAGUUCAGAAAGAGCCCUGAAACCUUUUCCUUGUUUUUUUUCCCUUCUGCUGUGAAGAACUAUUUCCUGUACUCACAACAUUUCUGACAAUAAAUGUGUGGUUUCCCCACUGCCCCCCACAUUAAACAAUUUGGGCACUAACUACCUAGAGUUAGUAUAGGACCCAGAGGUUGAGGGUUCAGUCCCGUGAGACAGCCCCCAUUUCAGACGCUGGUCUGAAGUCCUAGUUUGUCACCUACACAUCUGACUGGCCAGCUGUAAAUCUGGGGUUCCCAUGACCCCUUCCUUGGGUUAGAUAAUUUGCUGGAAAUGCUCACAGUACUCAGGAAAAUACUUGUUAUAACUGGCUAAUUAAAAAGGAUGUAAUUCAGGAACAGUCAAAUGGAAGUGACACAUAGGGCAAUGUGUGGGAAAAGGAUACAGAGCUUCCAUACCCUCUCUGGGCACAUCACACUCCUGACACCUCUAUGUGUUCACUGACCCAGAAGCUCUUGGAACCCCUUUAUUUAGGGUGUUUAUGGAGGCCCCAUUAUGUGGGCAUGCUCGAUUAAAUAAUUGGUCAUUGGUUAUUGGGCUCAGUCUCCUGCCCUUCUCCCCUCCCUUGAGGUCAGGCUUCAGAUCUGGAAGAUCCUACCCUCUAAUCACUUGGUUGGUUCCUCUGACAACCAGCCUCCAAGAGUCAUCUCAUUAGCAUAAACUCAGAUAAGGUUGAAUGGGGCUUAUUAUGAAUAACAAAAGAUGCUCCUCUAUCACUCUUGGAAUUCUAAGAGUUUUAGAAGCUUUGUACCAGAAACUGGGGCAGAGACCAAAUAUAUAUUUCUUAUUAUGUUACGCCUCCUCAUUUUCUCUUUAAUUUUCAAGUAUUCAUUGGAUGCCUGCUAAUAUAGUUUGUGCUGUCAGAGAGCCGGUAGGAGCUCCUAAGUGGGAUGCAAGCUGUGACGGGGUAAGUUACGUGUAAUUACCAUGAGAGUAUCUAUGAGGCGCUCCUAGUUCACCUUUGGAGCAGAGUCAGGGAAUGUUCCUGGUGGAGGUGAUGUCUAACUUGAGUCUUGAAGGAAGAGAAGAAUGUACCAGGUGAAGGGGUAGGUGAGGGGCAUUUCUCCCUCCCAGGGAGGGAGAGCUGAGACCUCCUUGGAGCUGCUAGUAAUUCCACAAGGCUGGAGGGAGCUUGUGGAGCUGGACAACUGUGGGAGUACAUUGGCGGCCAGUGGGCUGGAGAGGUAAGCAGGGAAGUAACCAGAUCCUGGUGGGUCUUUUGGAACUGUAUUCCAGUAUUGGAGGGGAGCCAUUUACUGAAGAUUUUAGACAAGGCAACUCAUGGUCAGACUGAUGUUUUAGCAAAAUCACUCAGACUGCAGAGUGAAUGAUGGAUUGUUGAAAGGGAGGUCUGAACGUGGAGGCACUAAGGAGGGGGUCCUUGCAACAGAGUGACAGGUGAUGUUGGCCUCAUUAAAGUAGAUGGGAGUGGAGAUGGAGAGAAGUAUCUGGAUGUAAGAGACAGUUAAGUCCAGAAGAGAGAGGGGAAAGAGUCAAGAGUGUUCAGAUGUUUGAAGUGUGUACCUCCAGGGCAUCUGCUGAAGGAAUGGGACAGAGGGGGUUGGGAUGGAGGGGAGGAUUUUGGUUUGGGGCAUCCCUAGUUUGAGGUUAGGAGACAUCCAUAGAUCAGUGUGUCGUGACGAUUGAGGCUGCAGGUAGAGCUGUGGGUUCUAGCAUGGGAAUGGGUGCGCUGUCCUGGCUACAGUGCCCUGGGAAGUGCAAAGGAAAUGGAGCUGGAAUCACUCUUUGGAGUUGAGUGGUGAGGAGGGUAGAGGAUAGCCUGGUUUGCAUUUGGAAAUGGAAGUAUAGCCGGCUAAAUCCUCAGAGCUUGAAGAACUUUGCCUGUGUGUGUUUGUGCGUGUGCCUCUUGCUUCCAGUGCCCUGACAGCGUCAUCUUUAUUAUUCACAGAAACAUUUAGGAAAUAUGUGCACAGUGUCCUUCUCGGCACAACAGACUUUCACGUUAAGUAUCCUCUCUGUUCUUUGGAAGGGGCUUAUAUAGUGGGGUGGGGGAAACAGUGGGUCACUGAAGAAAGCCACCCCUCUCCACCUCCUCCCUUCCCUCUCCUCCAUCAUACUAGCUGACACUUACUGAGUAUUCGCUAGUUAUCAUGUGCUGUUCUAAGCUCUUUAUGUCCAUUUACUUAUUUAAUUCUUAGGACAACCCGAUGAGGUAGAUACUCUUGUUACCUUUACUUUAUAGAUGGGGAAAUGGAUGAACCCGAAUAAAGUAAAUAUUGUCUAAAGCCACAUAGUGAGUAGGACAGCUGGGAUUCAAAUCAGCGAUUUAGUUCCAGAGCCCUGUGUUCCUAACCAUGGUACCCUGAAGUCCUGUCUUUCAGUACAGCAGACGCAAGUAUUAAGGUGAAAUCACGAUGGGAUGUGGAAAAGCACUCAGAAAUGAAUGAACCCCACAACAAUGGAAGAAUGGAGAAAAGAUGAGACAAAGAUGAACAGGGAGCCCCAUCUAGCUUGGGAGAUAAAAGCAAACAUUAGUAGAAAAAAGGGCUGGAUCCACAAGAAAUCAAAGGGUAAUCUGAACCAGUGACCAGGGGCAAUCGGUCAAGAAGGAUUGAAGAGAAGGUGGCAUCUGAGCUGGGUGUGAAGGAUGAACACAAACCCUGAAGGGGUUAGGGUGUAGGCGUAGCUGGGGGGAAUCUGUGUUGAUCAGAAGGGAAAGGUGAGUUCAGAGGUGUGCAGGGGAGGAAGGGAAGCUCAGAGCUGCGUGUGAAGUGAGGUGGCCAGUUCCUGAAGAGCUGCCUCAUGUGCCCAGCACCCUGUGUUCCAGUCCGGAAACUUGUGUAGCCCCUGUAAGGUAUUUUAGACCAUCCUUCUUAUGGCAGAGUGGGGUCAGAGGCAGAAAGGAAGAGACUGGAGACAGGGGGGCCAGGGGUGAAAGCUCUGAGCCCCCAAGCAAACCCUCUGAUUGAGGGGAUGGGGGGAAAGGGUCAGACUGCAGCGGUUUUUUAUGGAGCUAGAAUUUGCUCAACGCUGCACACUGGAAGUAGGCGAGAGAGUGGGAAUAACAACACCCGGUCUCCUGACUUGGAAGGUGGUGAUGCCAUUAAUCAAAUGCAGGCACCGCAGGGGUGGGGCAGAGCGGGCCUCCGUGCAGCUGGUGAGAGCAGAGAGGGGAGAUCAGGACUUCACUCCUGGUCUUGGUGAGUUCCGAUGCCUGAGAAACCUUCAGGUCAGGGACAGAUCCAGCUUCUGGAGGGCCCUGAAGCAUUUACAAUUUCGAGCCCCUCUUUAAGAAAACUACUAGAAAAUUGCAAAUACCAAGGGGCGCCUGGGUGGCUCAGUCAGUUACACAUCUGACUCGAUUUCAGCUCAGGUCAUUUCUCACGGAGAAAUUGUGAGAUGGAGCCCCGAAUGGGGCUCAGCGCUGGGCGUGGAGCCUGCUUAAGAUUCUCUCUCUCCCCCUCCUUCUCCUCAAAAAAAAAAAAAGGAAAGAAAAUUAUAAAUACCAGGUUAGAUGCAAGACCUUGGGCGGGGCCCCUGCGAGGGGGUUCCUGGAGCUUAAGCCUGCUCCUGCUUCAUGGUAGAUGUCUGAGGCUCCCUGUCUCCUUCCCUGUCUACAUCUUCCUGGAGGUCCAGAUGUCCCCAGGCUCUUCUCUCUGAGCCAAAGGCUGGUUGUCAUCCUGUUAAGACUGUUAGAGCUAAUUAAAGUUAAUCCAGGGGUUACCUUACUGUGGUGUUCAUGCUUUCAGGCUUUUCUGCAGAAAAGAUACCCUGCUUCCACUGUCUUAACACACAAGAGAAACAGAAAAAAAAAAAAAAAGCUACAAAGGGCUUUCAUGGGGUGAGGGGUUUGGUAUAUUAGCCCUCUCCGUGACCAAAAGAGGAUAACAAUAUGAAAGUAUCUUCUACUUGGAUUGUCAACAGGAAAUGGUAGCCAUGUAGACAAUGAACUAUUUUUUUUUUAAUAUUUUAAGGUUUACUUAUUUUUGAGAGAGAGACAGCAGGAGUGGGGGAGGGGCAGAGAGAGAGAGGGAGAGAGAGAAUCCCAAGCGGGCUCUGCAUUGUCAGCUCAGAGCCCGACUUGGUCUCGAACCCACAAAACCGUGAAAUCAUGACCUGAGCUGAAACCAAGAGUUGGACCCUCAGCUGACUGAGCCAGCCAGGCGCCCCUAGACAACGAACUGCUAACACUUCCAGCUUUUCCUGUGAAGAAAGAGUUUCAGGGAGCUGUUUUACCUAUAGCCUCUUACCAAGAAUGAAACCUUUUCAACCAAGUUUAUGUGGUUUCCUAAUAGGGAUUAAAAGUGGUUUUAUAAUAGCCGGGAAAUGUAAGGCAAAAGACAGCACGUUUAGAUAAUUCUCCCGAUACUACUUACAAAAUGAGUUUUGUAGCAGGAAGAUGGGCGUGGAGAACAGGACCCUAGAAUCAUUGUUUAGUCUGUGUCUUUGAUCAUUCUGGCUGGAAAGCCUCUCCUUGCAGGGAGGUGGUUGCCGACACUGCCAAGGACAAGGUUAUAUUUGGGCAAAAUGUUAUCCUCCCUCCUCCUCCUGCGCUUGGCCGUGGAACCCCUACUGAAGUCCUCAUCCUCACUGCGGCCACCCGCCCACCCCUAAGCCUCAGUGUUCCAGAAUUCCACCCCCACUUCCUUUUUCUGUCAGUUUCUGCCUGUGAAUGAUCUCAGCUAGAUGUUGGGCUCUUAUCUGAUUAAAACACUCACACAUGGUAUAAAUAGCUAACAAUUCUAUCUGCCAAAGGGUAUUUGCAUUUUAGAGGGGAGUUUGCUAACUAAGGGUAGUGCUGGAGGUGAUGAUGAAGGAUUUGGGAGCAGCCUGUCUUUUAUUUCCAAACUGUGGAGUGAAUGGGGUUUGGAUGCCACUGAGUCUCCGAGUUUGGGUUUGUGUUUUGAUCAUAGAAGGAGAAUAUUUUUUACCUCAUUUUUCUUCUUUUCCAAGAAGGCGAGUUUUCUGGGUAUGGUUAUCUAGAGCAAAUUUCAGAUGUUUAAUUAGGGAGGACAUGAGAUUUUUGGCAGGGGACCCUCUCUGCUGUGACUUGCCACCUGCAGGCCACCCAGUUCCUCUCCUAAGCUCCCAGAAAGAUGAGCUUGGGAACCCAGCACCUGGCUUUGGAAAGACAGCUCCUGCUCUUGUGAACUGAAAAUAUCUGCAAUCUGCAACUGCAUCAAGGGCCUCAAAUGCUGGGGCCUUGUAAAGAGAGAGCACGAAGAUGUUACUUUCCCAUUAAAUGCAUGGCCUGCUCGUGCUCUGAGUCUGUGUUUAGAACUGAGUGCUGCAUCUUAAGAAGGACGCAUCAGGGCAGGAGAAAAUCCAGAGAGGAGCUAUUAAAAGGACCAGUGUGCAUUUAUAGCAAAGUUGGUAGGUAGGAGCCCUUUCUAUGUGUGUUCUCUCCCAGAGUCUUAAGUCAGACCAGAUCAUCCUACUUUUAUAACUCUGGCUGGGGGGUCGGGUGGGAUGAGGACUGAAAAGAGGCAGAGCCCUGAACGUUUUA